rnacentral:rRNA from 1 species
ACGCUCGACACCUACGGGGAGGCAGCAGGUGGGGAAUAUUGCACAAUGGGGGAAACCCUGAUGCAGCGACGCCGCGUGGAGGAAGAAGGUCUUCGGAUUGUAAACUCCUGUUGUUGGGGAAAAGAGGAUGGUACCCAACAAGGAAGUGACGGCUAACUACGUGCCACAGCCGCGGUAAUCUGAGCGGGCUGGCAAGGC